AUACGGAGGGGGCUAGCGUUGCUCGGAAUUACUGGGCGUAAAGGGCGCGUAGGCGGACUUUUUUAGUCAGGCGUGAAAGCCCCGGGCUCAACCCGGGAACUGCGUUUGAUACUGGAAGUCUAGAGUUCUGGAGAGGGUGGUGGAAUUCCCAGUGUAGAGGUGAAAUUCGUAGAUAUUGGGAAGAACACCGGUGGCGAAGGCGGCCACCUGGCCAGACACUGACGCUAAGGCGCGAAAGCGUGGGGAGCAAACAGGAUUAGAUACCCCAGUAGUCC
rnacentral:rRNA from 1 species